CCACGCCCAGCUCGCCCAAACACAAGACCAGCUAGUUCCGCCCCACGGCCAAUUCGCCCCUCCCCAUCGCUACCUCGCUUGUCCCCGAGGCCAGUUCACCCCGCCCCCUGGCCAGAUCGCCGCACUCCAAGGGACUUCAUGAUGAAGGAUCCACAGCUGAUAUCUCACACACUUGAGGGUGUAGCUCUUUUAAGACAAGAGUCCAACUGAGUUCUGGCCGUAAACUUCAGGAUCCUUCUGCAUCAUCGACGUGGUUGCUGGGGUUACAGGCACGCGCCUCCAUGCGCCACAAGGCUGGAUUCU